UUAAAUUGAGAGUUUGAUCCUGGCUCAGGACGAACGCUGGCGGCGUGCCUAAUACAUGCAAGUCGAACGAAACUUUCUUACACCGAAUGCUUGCAUUCACCGUAAGAAGUUGAGUGGCGGACGGG
rnacentral:rRNA from 1 species